GACAAAUGUGCCUUUCACUUUGGAGAAGUCAAGGUUGGAGAUUUAGUUUAUUAAGGAAGCAGCUAAGGAGAAUAUGGUUCAGCUCAAGCAGCAUAAGUCAUUUGGGGGUAUGCGUGCUUCUAUAUACAAUGCUAUGCCAUUGGCUGGGGUUGAGAAAUUGGUUGCUUUCAUGAAAGAUUUCCAGGCAAGGCUCAAAAUGAAGUAUCUUCUGGGCAGGAUGUACAAAAAGAAUUGGAUGAGCUCAAAUUAUGAUAUGAAAGAUUGAAGGAAGCCAUGUUGAAGUCUGAGCUUCGCAACUUGGAAAGAUGCAGAAGAGGGAAGGGGUAGAUAUGACAUAUUUGAAAAAUGUUGUCUUAAAGCUUCUUGAAACAGGUGAAAUGGAGGCUCUACUACCCGUGAUUGGAAUGCUGCUUCAAUCUAGUCCUGAAGAGGUAAAAUUCUCAGUUUGUAUUAGAUGCUCCAUUUUUAUUGGGUAUUCUGAUUUAAGUCAUGCUCUCUAUUUUAUUCUGCAUAAUGAAAUAUGUCAUGGUAAGCUGCCCCUUCACAUUGAAUGCCUGGCUAGCAGGCAAAGAUGGUAGCCUAGGGCCAAAGCUGUCAGUCCACUAUGUUUCCUUGGAAGAAAACUUGGAUAAAACCUUGGAAGUGCAUUUAGAUAAGAUGAGCAAGAACCUAUUCGUUGACCUUUGGGAAGUCAUGUAUUUCUUUUCUGACAUGGUUUCAAGUGAUGAUGCUGCAUUGCAGUUUGGUACAUUAUGCUAGAAUGUGUCCAGGCAUAUAUUAGAAACUGCACUUUCAAAAGUGGCAAUGAGGUUCAGUACAGCAUCUUCAACCAUCUGUUUAUUACUGCAUGUUGCAUGCAAAUGCAGAUUCACAAGUGUCACCAAGCAUAAUGUGCCUCUACAGAUGUUCCACCAAGCCUAGCAAGCGAUGCUCCUGGAUCUUCCUGCUCUCUUUUUUCAAGAUUCUCAUUUUCUUAAAAGUGGAAAACAAGUCAAAGGAUUGUUUUGUUGCAUGAGGAUUAUCUGUUACUGCAACUCAGCAACAAUGGUGUUGGCUUAGACGUCGCAUUCCUCCUCUUGAUAUGACGAUUUCCACACAAGGCAUGCUUGAUUUAUAUUGUAGAUUGAAGCACCCUUUUCUUGUUCUUUUUUGGUGUUUUUGUAACAUGUUUGUUAUUGAAGGUGGGUGGGUGGGGCUAGCUGGUAGUUUCAAUUGUUUUGCAAGAAUGAUGAAUGAUAGUAUCGAUGUUUAUGUCCAGCAAGAGAAGUUUAUUAUAGUGGUUUAGGCUUUUUUUGAUGAUACUGUCAUGCAAUUUGCAAAUUCAUAAGUUCAUAAGAAUUAUGAUUUGGUGAUUGCCAAAUUGGUUAUAUGGAUAUCUAGUUUUCAAGUUUUGAUGUUCAAUUCAAUAAAGAAAGAUCCUGUUCUUCAUA